rnacentral:lncRNA from 1 species
ACAGAGUUUAAUACAGAAAUACAGGACCAGGAUUUAAUUCAAUAUUAUACCUCAAAUUCAAAUUGUCCAAUGAAAAAACAGCAUUUGUACCACGUGGUAGUGUGAUUUUUUACGGUAUUUCACUCAAAUUCAUGAUCUCGCAAUCCAGCGUGGGAUACUAUAAUAUCCCACGGCAGAUCCACCGUGGGAUAUUAUAGUAUUCCACGCGCGACGCGUGGACACCACGCUCUGAAUUCUGAAACAAUAUGGCGUUCGCGAGCUCGUACAGAACUACAGAAGAUUUUAAUAUUAAAAGUAAACCAAAUAUUUCAACACGUAUGUUACUUUUCAACGAUCCAAAGGAUACUUGCUCAAAUAUUUUGAGGAGAAAACGUCAAAAACUCGGGUAUAGAUAAGAAAUUAAAAAUUGUAUUCGCGUAGUUAUUAAUAUUCAGCAAGUUUUAAAGUUUAUUCUGAACUUGAUAGACUCUUACUAGUGAGUUCUUUAACUUUCGGUAUAAUAUAUCAUUUAUAGACCCAACGCUCUGGGGAUUCGGCGAUAUUUCCCUCAGAGAUGAUAUUCUCCUUGGGGCAAAGCCCCUUGGAAAAUAUCAUCACUUCGGGAAAUAUUACGUCGAAUCCCCCUCGCUCCGGGUCUAUAAAUGAUAAAUAUCUCCUGAGAACAUUAGUUUCCUGUGACGUUGUUCAUUGACAAAUAUAUUGCCUGCUAUGUUUUGACUGUUUAGAAUAUUACAC